AUUGAACGCUGGCGGCAUGCCUUACACAUGCAAGUCGAACGGCAGCACGGGAGCAAUCCUGGUGGCGAGUGGCGAACGGGUGAGUAAUAUAUCGGAACGUGCCCAGUCGUGGGGAUAACGUAGCGAAAGCUACGCUAAUACCGCAUACGAUCUAUGGAUGAAAGCGGGGGAUCGCAAGACCUCGCGCGAUUGGAGCGGCCGAUAUCAGAUUAGGUAGUUGGUGAGGUAAAGGCUCACCAAGCCGACGAUCUGUAGCUGGUCUGAGAGGACGACCAGCCACACUGGGACUGAGACACGGCCCAGACUCCUACGGGAGGCAGCAGUGGGGAAUUUUUGGACAAUGGGCGGCAAGCCUGAUCCAGCAAUGCCGCGUGCAGGAUGAAGGCCUCGGUUGU
rnacentral:rRNA from 1 species